UAGCACUAAUAGAGAGAUAUAACCACGAUCAGAUGAUAAGAGCAGGUCAUUUGUAACUCUAAGGAGAGCAGUCUCAGUACUAUGAUACGGUCUAAAUCCUGACUGGAAAUCCUCACAGAUGCCAUUUUUCUCAAAUACUAGAAAUUGUGAAUAUAAAUAAUCGUGAAUCAUUUUAUUUAUCUAUUAUAACAUUUAUGUAGUUUUGUUCACUUGGCUGUUUCUUUAUAAAGGUCCAGAAACUGCAGUUUUUCGUCAGGAGUCUUUUUUAAUUAUAAGGUAGUUCCCUCAGCGGUGGGCGGGGCUAACUCACAUGCAGCGAUCCUAUUGAUUGAGAGUGUGAUUGAUUGCUCGACACCUGCCAGAGAUCAGCAACAAACAAGAAUCAGCAGCGGCAGCUGAACACGCUUCAGUCAGAUCUGAACACGGGGGUCUGUUCAGGUUCGGAGCUGCCGGGGGUCACGAGGAUCUGCCGGGAGUCACGAGGAGCUGCCGGAGGACAGGGGAGUAACCGCUGAACUCUGACCUUGUUCUGGACUCGGUGCUGCUGUGAUGCUCUGAGCUCUUGGACCGCUCUGAUUCUAAGCUCGGACCCGUUCUCUGGGAACUGCUUUGACGGACGCUUGUUUAAACAGAACGAUCAUACAGUGUGUGUGUGUGUGUAAGGUGUGUGUGUGUGUGUGUGUGUGUGUGUGUGUGUGCACAAUAAAAGGAUCAAAC
ensembl:lncRNA